rnacentral:rRNA from 1 species
ACAUACGACCAUAGACUCAAGAGAACUGGACAUCCCGUCCGCUCUGCCAUACAUAACCUUGAGAUCGGUGGAUUAGGAGUUGGGUGGGGUGACCACCAGCGAAUACCCACUGUUAUACAGC